rnacentral:rRNA from 1 species
AACGAACGCUGGCGGCAGGCUUAACACAUGCAAGUCGCGGGAGAAGCAGUUUUCGGAUUGUGGGCACCGGCGCACGGGUGAGUAACGCGUGGGAACAUACCCUUUUGUGGGGGACAACGGCUGGAAACGGCCGCUAAUACCGCAUAAGCCCUUUUGGGGAAAGACUUCGGUCGCGAAAGGAUUGGCCCGCGUUGGAUUAGUUAGUUGGUGAGGUAAUGGCUCACCAAGGCUACGAUCCAUAGCUGGUCUGAGAGGAUGAUCAGCCACACUGGAACUGAGACACGGUCCAG